CUCGGGGGCCGCGUGCUUCUCUUUCUCCGGUCUGGGAGCUCACGGCGGACGCGCGGAGCCAACAUGCCAGUGGCCCGGAGCUGGGUGUGUCGUAAGACUUAUGUGACCCCUCGGAGGCCCUUCGAGAAGUCGCGCCUCGACCAGGAACUGAAACUGAUCGGCGAGUACGGGCUCCGGAACAAACGUGAGGUCUGGAGGGUCAAGUUUACCCUGGCCAAGAUCCGCAAGGCCGCCCGGGAGCUGCUGACGCUGGACGAAAAGGACCCGCGGCGCCUGUUCGAAGGUAAUGCCCUACUGCGGCGACUUGUACGCAUCGGGGUGCUGGAUGAGGGCAAAAUGAAGUUGGAUUACAUUCUGGGCCUGAAGAUCGAGGAUUUCUUAGAGAGACGCCUGCAGACCCAGGUCUUUAAGCUGGGCUUGGCCAAGUCCAUCCACCAUGCCCGUGUGCUGAUCCGCCAGCGCCAUAUCAGCCCUCGGAGGUGACAAAGGUGUGAACACACCUUGAGGGUACAGAUUGACACCUGCAAAGUGCUCAUGGGUUGCUGGGGAGAGCCUCAUCCCCUGCCCCGUAGCCCAGCGCAAGGGUCACUGCGGCCUAAGCCGUACACCUUGCGAAGGCUUCUACAGGCAUGCAUGCAGCCAGACAGGGUCCGAAAGCAGGUAGUGAACAUCCCGUCCUUCAUUGUCCGCCUGGACUCCCAGAAGCACAUCGACUUCUCCCUCCGUUCUCCGUAUGGGGGUGGCCGCCCAGGCCGCGUGAAGAGGAAGAAUGC